UGGAGGCGAUUUGAAAAGUGCAAAAUGUACUUUUAAGAGUGUCUACAAAAGCACAAAACCACCAUUUUUUCAGUCCUGUGUUCAGCAUUUUUUUUUUUUUCAAAAUCCAGAAAAGUUUACACAAUGUCCUGCCUUACAAGAUGUCCAGUGUUUUUUUUCUUCUUUUUUUCUUGAUGUGUUGCAAGUCAGACACUCAAAACUGUGUUCCACACCAUCCACCUUCCCACCCUUACAAACAACGCGAGCAUGUCCACCCCAUCGCCAGCUUAACCUGACACGCGUCUGCGCUGUGUUUUUUUCCCGCCUGCUUUUUCUGGUUUGGUUUUGUUUUAAUCAGAUGGAGGGUCUCUACUGACGAUGUCACGUCUGGGCUCACACACGCACGCUCAGAAGGACAGUGGGCUGUCCGGUGUAGCAUCAUUAGCUCAGCGGAGACGUGGCGGCCCUGACACAUGUCGAGCGGCGUGCAGCCAACCCACGGACGAGCACGAGUCGCUCCUGCAUAAUUUGAAGAGUCAUCCAUGGCAGCGCUUUGAGAAUCCUUCUCGGCGUUCCCCGUGACUUGAACGGAGCAUCGCUCAGCGCUGUGAUCGCCCUAUUCACACUCAGCAGACAGAAGCCCUGCUGGCCUGAGGGUCACAUGAGGACCUCUCCAUGACCCCUGACCUCAGUUUGAACCAAGACCCUACAGUUCAUCCACAUCUGCGGCUUUAGAGAAGGUCACAGGAGAGUUCAUGACAACCUGCCUUUACUGUGACAUAACACGCAGAAUGAGGUUCACACACACGCACCAGGAGGGAUCUGAAGCCCACGCGAGACAGACACCUCAACCGAAUGUAAAACAAACACACUCGAUUUCACUCUUCAAAAAGACGUUCACCACCUUCAAAGCCUUACGACGAAAGCGGAGCGGAACGCUCCAAAACACAGGCAACAAACAACUCGUUUAUACAUUCUCCUAAUUCCUCUCCGACGGGCCUGGAUGUCUUUCUUCAGCAACAGACUGUUGGGGAUCACGGCUUCAACGUUGCGGUUUUAAGACUCUGCCGUCUCCCCUCCCCGCUCCUCCGUAUCUCUGUGAUAAACGCCGGAGCAAAUUCAAAGCCAAACAAACAUGGAUUCAAAGAAAGAUUUUCGUGGCAACUUAAGGAAAGCGUAUGUUCGUGACAACGUGUCGCCGGGGAGUUUGUUCAGUCGGUGCUCGCUCAGAUAGACCCUGGCUGCUCAUCCUGAGCAGGGAAGUGCAUUUGCUUGAUUAUCAUUAAAAAAAGAGAGAUGAUGUCUUCAGAAGUCAGUGGGGAUAUUUAUCAGACUCGCAGUUGGAGACGUGAUGGCGUGUCUCUUCUAAUAGAACAGCCUCAAGGCUCUGGGCCUGUGUGCGCAGGUUAUGAUCCCAUGAGAAGUGAAUAAGUAAAGCGCUGACUGAUCACAUGUAUUUACUUCAUGCUUGCCUUUUGUCCUGUAAUGAAUAUCAAUGAAUGAAACGGUGAAUGUGGAUGGGUAACGUAUGCUAUUAGAUGGCGUACUUAUUCAAAUGAAUAUUACUGCAACGUGAAGUGGUGCAGACUAUAUGACACAACAGAUAAGGCUUUUAACAUUACCAUUAUAAACCAUAGUUCAUAACAAAAUAAAACAGGAAAUUCAUGAUAAAUUACUAAAGGAUCUCGUUCAGCGAGCUGAAAAGGGCUGCUUUGAACUGGUCUUACAGCCUGCAAUAAAACAGACCAGGCUGGUUUAAAGUUUCUUAAAGCAGGGUUUGUUGAAACCUUUUCAACAUUCGCCUGUUUGCAAUCCAUUUUACUUCAGUCGUUGACAUAUUUAUGAGUAAAAAUCUUAUUCACUGAGAACAAAUGGAGGCAGGAUAUUUUAUCGGCUUGGGACUUGUGACGUCAGAAAGUCAUUUAAACAAAUACUACAUAUAAUUUUAAUAUAUACUGACAAGUCAUACACAAUAAAACCAGGAAAGUUUUAAUAAUAAAUGCGGAUACAUGGUAAUUUUUCUUUACCAUGGUAAAGGAAAUGUUUGGGGCUAAAUUUAAGAUCACAUGUUUGUGAAUGAGAAAUGAAUUUAUAAUGAUGUAAUCAAAGUUAGGAAGAUUUACAACGAUUCCUUUUUUAUUACGAGCUGUGUUCUCUUGCAGACUAGACUGUGAAAGCACCAUAAAUCACUCUAUUUUUAUAGGUGUAUAUAUUUAUUUUAUUUCCACGACAUACUUUUACUACUGCUUGCUCAAACUUCAUACAAAACAAAAGGAAAAACAACAUGACCUGUUAUCAGUUUUUAUUCAAAAUCCCAUACCUGUCUGAAAGCAAAUGUUCAGACAAGAAAGAAAAGCUCACAAAGACGGAGAGGAGGGAGCGCCGCAGGAAAGUUCCACAUGCAAUCUUUUUUGUUUGUUUGCGAGUGUAAACGCGGUUGUGAUGAAAUAUUGAUGCUCCCUUCCAAACUGUCUUGUAAGUCGUCUCCGUUCUUUCAGGCUUUCCAUCUGUAGCACCUGAGGAAGAGGACGGGAACGCCGAGCUGUCAGGAGAGAUGAGCUCACGCUCUCUGCGGCAGGCUGUCAAAUGCGACACAUCCUCUUCAAGAGCAGACACAAGAGCAAACUUCCGCUACUCCUCGAUCUUUGUCUCUUACUCUAUCUGUGUUGUUAUCUUUCUUUCUUUCUUUAUCUGUUCUUCUCCUUUACUCUUUCUAUUCGAAUUGUAAGACAGUAGCUAUGGCAGACUUGUGCAUCAUGACCUAUGGAAUCAGAGGUGUCCUUCCUUUGUAGUCUUCAGGAUAUUGACAGAAGAAAGAAAGACGUACGCCGGGGUUUGGGACAAUAUAAUGAGAGUACGAGACAAAAAAAGACUUUGAAAAUGAGAGAGAUUUGCAGAGUGCUACAGUCGUAGUGCGCAAGCUCAAGGGCUGCAGUGCUCACGGGGACACAGAACAAAAGAAUCGAAAUGAUCCGUUUCUUUCCUAAUUCAUGGAAAUGGAGAGGGGGAGGAGGGCUCCUGUCAGCAGGGAGACAUGGAGCGCUGGUCAGUAUAUCAGGGAGUUUUAAUUAACAGCUCAGUGAUGAGGAUUGAAACAGCCCUCAUGCCGUUUACCACUCUACGGGCCCGGAACAAACCAAACUCACCGCAGCGGGGUUGAAUUGCUCCACUCAGCCUUCUAUAAAAGACUGGCACUGAAAUCAGCAGCAUUUGCAUAUGGUAAUUAUUCUGUGAAUCAGGCUACCUUUAUUACUACCACAGAAAUCUACUGUCAGCAGACAAGCAUACAUCACUGCAUCGAGGACAUACAGUACGUGUAUAUCUACAUUAGUGCAUGGUCCAGAGGAGAAAGAUGGAGGAGACGCAUACACUCAUACUUACAGUACAUUGUAAUGCAUUAUUGUAAUGCACCUGUUUAUUUAUUUAUUGGGACAUUUGUAGUGCCACUUGAAUUGUUGUAUUCCUGAAUGCAAUCUUCAUAUACCUGUCAUUAAGAGGAGCUGCAUUUGUGUGUCCUUUCUGUACAUUUAUUAAUGUAUUAUUGAUGUAGAUGUGAGCCAUCCAAGAUUUGAUUUUUUUUUUUUCUUCAUCAGAACAGAUUUUGAGAAAUGUAGCAUUAGGUUCACCAAUGGAUCCUCUGCAGUGAAUGGGUGCUGUCAAAAUGAAAGUCCAAAGAGCUGAUAAAAACAUCACAAUAACUCACAAGUAAACCACACGACUCUAGUCCAUCAGAUGACAUUGUAAAUCGAAAUGCUGCAUGUUUUUAAUAUACAAAUUCAUCAUUAAUAUGUUAUUAACUUUAAACCAUUGCUUCAGUCUAAAAUAUAUUUGUAUUUUUUUUCUCCAGUGAAAAAAUAAUCUCGUCUUAAUUUAAGAGAGAAAUGCAUCUUUUACAUUGUUUUUUUACAAUGAAAACCAUCUAAAAUGAUUCUAAACAAAUAUAUUGGUGGAUUUUGAUGUUGGUUGACUCGGUUGGUUGCAAAAUUUUUCCAAAUCUGUUAUGAUGAAAAAACAAACUCAUUUACAUCUUGGAUGUCUUAAGGGUGAGUUUUUGGAUGAACAAUUCCUUUAAAUAACUGACCAUCAGACCAGUGCAACGAUGUGUUCAAACACACAACAGUGCAUUUCUGUGAACUGUUCAUUGUGCAUAUAUCACACACGUACACAUACAUACAAAAGGAUGUAGUUUGCAGUCAUUGUCACUAAUGGUGUUUGCUGUGUGUGCCCCGGAGAUGGUCUGAUCAUUUACUGACAACAUCAUUAUCUAGAGCUUAUUGAUCCUGUCAUACUGCUGGGAACAAUAGCAUGCACAUGCACACACACACACAUACACAGUCACUGCUUCACUUUAAUUAAUAAUUAAAGCGACACUGUUCAUUUCUGAAAUUGUCAGUAAACAUCUUGCUCAUGUUUUUAUUGUCGUCAGUGUUAAACACAAUCAUUACAGACAUUCAAACCGAGAUGCAAUAUUGUACAUUCUGCUGUGACUUAUAUUGUGAAAUCUGUCAAUAUCAGAAAAAGUCAAGUUGUCUGCACUGUUGUGUGACCAUCAUAUCUCUGGCCUGCGGUGACUAUCCAUUCAAGUUUCAUGCAAUGAAAGUCAGAAAGCAUCAUUUAAACAAAGCCGUUUCAUAGAUUUUUUGUUUUGUCAUGUUGUCGGAGUCAUUUGAGGCUUCAAUAAUAAUUUAAUAUAAUGAAAGUUCAAUUUAUGUGAGGCAUAAUGUACAAUCCUUCGGUUGUUAUUAUUACAAAAUAAACCCAGACAUGGUGAUCAGAGCCAUGCAAUACUCACAUGUCAAUAUUAACUGAGAAGACAACAUUGUGGCAGACGAGUAAGAGAUUGAAUAGAUGAAAAGUGUUAAAAAUCAAUAUAUUGUUGGCAUCCUAAAAUGCCCCAAGUUAAGAAGUUGUGUGUGGUUUAGGAAGGUGCGUUGCCUGUAAUAUGUUGUCUGAAGCUCAGUGGGAUUAAAUUGUAUGAUGAUUUUUUUAUAUAUAUAAUUAAUUGUACAAAAUGAACCAUUACAUGUAGUUCUAACAUUAAUUAGUCAGAAUAAAUAAUUAUAAUGGUUAUUAGUUAAGACUGUAGCUCAGUGAUUCCCUUAAGAUUUAAUGCAUUUAUUAAUUUAGCAGCAUACUGUCACGGUGCACACAUCGGGGAGGAACGAGGAUAAACUCAAAAUAACAGUCUUUAAUCAAGUCCAAACAAGGCAAGGCAAGACAAGGCAAGGCUGAGACAGACAGGAACAUCGGGGAGUAACGAGUAGACCAGCCGAAAUCUAACUAAACAGGCAUGAACUAAAUACACAUGACAAUAACGGAUAAUUACACACACCUGAACUGAAUAAACUAAUAAUCACACUGAACAAGGACAGGAACAUGACCAAAUGUAGAAACAUGAGGGUGGGAAACACAAGACACAUGACAGAGGACUGACAUGACUCCCCCCUCCCGGAAGGCGCGUCCCGCGCCAUAACAGUACCACCGGGGAGGGGGGUGGGCGCUCGGAACAGACAGAUCGGAGGCCAUGGCAGGUAGUCUUCGGGGCCGUGGCCUCGGUCCCCUUGGCCUGGCCCCUACAGCCGGAACCCUUCUAAUAAUCACACUGAACAAGGACAGGAACAUGACCAAAUAUAGAAACAUGAGGGCGGGAAACACAAGACACACGGCAGAGGACUGACACAUACUAUAUGCAACAUAUUAUACUAUGAGCAGCAGCAUAACAGCUGUUUGGUUUUCAGCACGUAAAGGUGGCACACAUGCACUCGUCACCAGGGUAACGCCUCACUGGACUUAUUAUGGGAUUGCAUUGCUUUAGAGUCUGCCCUGAGUCCUAAAUUGCCUCAGCAUUGUCGCUUGAAACCUGCGCUCAUGGGACUCCAGUCCAGCAGUCUUACUAUUAAUACACACCGGAGAGUUUUACUAACAUUCAUUUACUUUCUCUCUCUGUCUCAUUCUGUCUAUUCCACCUAGACUAGUAUUUGUAGGAUUGGGAUGCUUUCUCUCUUGCUAUGAAUAUAUUCUCCUAUAUUUGUAUUCUGCUCUGUCUGCUAUCACUGUAACACAUUUUUUGUAAUUUUAUUGGAAAGAUAAUGUAAAUGUACUUAAUUUAAAAACCUGUUAAUUGCUUAAAGGUAAAACAGUUUUAUAUUUAACAAGUGAGUGCAUAUUGUGAAGCUGUAA